GGCCGUGUGGCGUAAUGGCAACGCGUCUGACUACGAAGGUGCUAUCAGGAGAUUGCAGGUUCGACCCCUGUCUCGGUCA